UUUCGUGAAAUAACAGAAAUGAAAAUUUUAAAACAAAAAUAGGCCUUCUUCCGUGACCGUGAGAUAAUAGGUCCUCUCCCAGAGCCGCUGUAAUUUUGGCGCCGCCGCGAGCAGCACCGGCCAAACAGCCACAAUCUCUCCAACUCCAAGGUUCUAGCGAAUUGGUCUCAAACGACCCACGAAUAAGAUCAAGCGACCAAAUCGGAAAUCUCCAAGGGUUUGAGCGAAUUGAGUGACAGUCCUCCCUCCCACUUGUGUUGCAGAUUCUCAAUUCUGUACAAGGAAAGCCAAUUACCAAAACGGCGCCGCUUAAAACUUUGAAGGAUCACAGUGCAGAAGCUCGAGGACAAACUUCACAAGUGUGAUUAUUUGAACAAUCACAUCCCCAGAGAGCUUCGCUACGAAAAGGUAUGCUUUCCAAUUUUUCAUUUUUUCAUCUUAUUUUUAGGUUAUAGCAAAUUAAGAAGAGAGAAUUCCAAGUUGGUUUUCGGGCCGAUAAGUCGAUCGUUGGGUGCGUUGAGCAAUGGUUGUGAACUGGAUUAUGGGUGUCCUUUUAGAGGCCUUCAAUUUGUUUGUAGUGAUGUAUUCCGUUUGAUCGUAUUGUAGGAUCGAAUGGGGCCUAGAUGGAAAGGAAAAGGCGCAGAAGCUAAGGCACUUGCAGAUCCAAUGUCAAAGAUAGUAUUGAAGCUUCAGUCAUCUCUAAUCCAAUCAGAUGCCCGAGGAAUCUUAUGCGGGAGCAGCGUACUUCUUGCUGCAGAAGAAGAACAAGCCCUUCUCUUCAGUCGUGCCUACUUUGGCCACCCGCCGAUUAAGGCCGAUAGGCAGUGGUUUCAGUUGGGCAUGGAAGAGGCAUUUUUCCUGUGCUAUUCUUUAAAAUGCCUCAAGAUAGCGGGCGAAGACAAACGCCCGAAGGACGAUCAAGAGCUUUGGCAGUGCAUGAAGUCCGAAAAAGCGGGAUUUCCUGUAUUUUACAAGGCGUAUUCUCACCUUCGAACGAAAAAUUGGGUUGUGAGACCCGGACUUCAAUAUGGUGCGGACUUUGUUGCUUACCGUCACCAUCCGAGUUUGGUCCAUUCUGAAUAUGCUGUGCUCGUGUCAUCAGAAGGAGAUGCUGAAGCAAAUGGGCGAUUGAAUGUGUGGUCUGAUGUUCAUUGCACCUUAAGGCUUUGUUUAGGGGUUGUAAAGACAUUGCUAGUUCUUACUAUUAGUAAGAAUGGUGAUGAUGAUGCCUCUCCGUCAUGUUUGGCGAACUACACGGUCGACGAGCGCACAGUUACAAGAUGGAGUCCGGAACAAAGCCGCGAGGAAGAUACAACAACAGAUAAUGCGGAAUCACAAGCAACAGAGUAGUUGAAAACGGAACUAGGUCAGUGGUCAAACAUAAUCGUAUUUCAAAUUUCAUAAUUUCCAUGUUCAUGUUGCAAUGUUAUCUGUGAAACUUUCAUAAAAAGAGUAAUGCAAACUACGUUUUUCCUUCAGACGUAUUUGUACAAAAUGUAGACACAUUUUCACAUCGUCGGAGCAAGUACAUCACACUCCGACACAACACAACGCCACCACAUGAAGCACCUACACUACCGCUUUCCCCGUCGUGAUUGCAGUUAGUGUAAACACAUACCAAAGAAAAAUCAAGCAAAUUGGCAUCUUUUUUCCUCUCCAGCAGAUGGUUAAUAGUCUACAAGGCUAUAGAGUACCAAUAAUUCACAUAUACAGCCAAAUUAUCGAAAUUCAAACCAAAUUCAUAAUGCACACUUGACUAAGACAAGUCCUAUAAGUGCAA